rnacentral:lncRNA from 1 species
UCCUCAUAUGAAGUAUCAUUUCCAUCAUCAACUAUAUUGCUUGGAAAUCCAAAUAGGUUGGGCUCUUUGCCUUUCUCUUUUUGCUUCCCCUUAUCUCUCUCAAUCCCUGCAUCUACAUUUCUUUCGAAUUCCAAAUCAUCAUUUAUAUAGCUAUAAUUGUUAUCAUGAAAAUCAGAUUCACCAUCUUUAAUGCUUGAAUCUUUUAGCACUCCAUCAUUAAUGCCUGAAUCCUUCGACACAUCAUCUUCCAUCCUUAAGUUCAUUUGCACUAAAUCAUCAUUGCUUGAAUCUUGUUGCUCUAUAUCAUCUUCAACUUCACCCCC